GUAUAUAAGGAGCACUCACAGGUCUUCAUCCAAAAUCCAAUUUAUUCUUUGGUGCAAAUUACAUGUACAAAUUUUGAGCAAUCGACAUUUUGACCCUCACAGGGUCUUCUUUGGAUCUAUAUUUUAAUUGGGGUAGCCCCCAAAAUAUUGGGACAUAUAAAAAAAGACAACUCUGUUCCGCAGAGUAGCUGUUGACAUUAUAGUUGCGCAUGAACUUUGUUGACUCGGCGGUGACUUUGCAUGCGGAUGUCAUCAAUAUCAACUUUCUAUGCCAGUUUCUGCGCCUACUAUGGUGACCACGGGUAACGGGGAAUCAGGGUUCCAUUCCGUACAGGGACCCAGAGAAACGGCUACCACAUGCAAGGCAGGCAGCAGGCGCGCAAAUGACUCACUCCCGGCGCGGGAUGGUAAUGACGACAAAUAACAAUACAGGACUCUUUAGAGGCCCUGUAAUUGUAAUGAGUCCACUUGAAAUCCUUUAACUCUGAUCAAUUGGAGGGACGUCUGGUGCAGAGCCACUGACCAUUGCGUUCUGCAGCUGAAACUCCACU